rnacentral:lncRNA from 1 species
AUGGGUGCGUUCACCAGACCAGUGCGCUACGUCAGCGCUUUGAAACUGUUUAGGAUUUUUCGGGUGAACGUCAUGUCAAUUUAGGCUAAACUUCAACGUGUUGACGAAGCGGUCGCCAUUUUAUUGAACGUAGUAUUUGUAUGGCUUCAAUAUUGAACGUGUUUAAGAAAUAUAUUGUAAUGGCGCGAUUAUUUGAAAAUAUUUAUUUUACAAUGGUUUUAAUUAUAAAGUAGGUAACUGAAACUUAGGAGAUACAUAAUUGUAUAUGCUCACGAAAUUGUAAAUCUGUGUAUUAAGGAACAAUAUUUUCAACAUAAUUCAUAUUUACGUGAUAAUUAUUAUUUAUUUAUGGUGGGUCAUCGUCAUUCAAUGGUUCUGUUUUGCCAAGUCCAGCACAGCCAGCAGCACUAAAAAUUAUUUCUUGUUCAUUUCAUUAUCAAACAUCAAUAAAGGUUAGGUUCAUAGAACAGGUGGGAACACAAAAAAAA